UACGGAGGGGGCAAGCGUUAUUCGGAAUUAUUGGGCGUAAAGGGCGCGUAGGCGGCUAGAUGUGUCAAAGGUGAAAUCCCUCGGCUCAACUGAGGAACUGCCUUUGAAACUGUCUGGCUUGAGGCCGGGAGAGGGUAGCGGAAUUCCCAGUGUAGCGGUGAAAUGCGUAGAUAUUGGGAGGAACACCAGUGGCGAAGGCGGCUACCUGGGCCGAUACUGACGCUGAGGAGCGAAAGCGUGGGGAGCGAACAGG
rnacentral:rRNA from 1 species